GACGAACGCUGGCGGCGUGCUUAACACAUGCAAGUCGAACGGAAAGGCCCUGCUAUUGUGGGGUGCUCGAGUGGCGAGCGGGUGAGUAACACGUGAGUAACCUGCCCUUGACUUUGGGAUAACUUCAGGAAACUGGUGCUAAUACCGGAUAGGAGCUCCUGCUGCAUGGGGGGGGUUGGAAAGUUUCGGCGGUUGGGGAUGGACUCGCGGCUUAUCAGCUGGUUGGUGGGGUAGUGGCUUACCCAGGCUUUGACGGGUAGCCGGCCUGAGAGGGUGACCGGCCACAUUGGGACUGAGAUACGGCCCAGACUCCUACGGGAGGCAGCAGUGGGGAAUAUUGCACAAUGGGCGGAAGCCUGAUGCAGCAACGCCGCAUGCGGGAUGACGGCCUUCGGGUUGUAAACCGCUUUCGCCUGUGACGAAGCGUGAGUGACGGUAAUGGGUAAAGAAGCACCGGCUAACUACGUG
rnacentral:rRNA from 1 species